UGUGCGUGUACACAAAUGAAGUUUGGCUACUGGCAGCUUCAAUGCUUUCUGUGUCAUGUAACAUGUGGACCGGCUGACUGAGCCUGAUCAUUCCUGGGUGACACAGUAUUCAGCUUGGUGAUCUGAAGAGGAUAGCUCUAAUUUUGCUUAGCUCAUUUAUUCUGAGUUUCGCUUCUCUUUUCUUGGUUGCUCCACAGAUUUCUUAACCGACUCUCCAGUUUUGAACAGACCAACAAAAGAGGAUGAAGAGGAAAAGGCAGACAACAUGGAGGCAUCUAAUGAGCAAAAGAGAAUGAAAGUACAACACAAGUUCUCAAACUAUCAAUUAGGGAUUCUCAAGGAGAACUUUCAUAGAAAUAAAUAUAUAAGCCCUGAUGAAGUCCACUUUCUUUCUGGGGUCCUGAGCCUGACUCCACAGCAGAUCCAACACUGGUAUCGUAAUCAAAGAUCCAAAAGGACUAAAUAUGCAGGCUCAUUAAAAGGAGCAUCUGAUAUACAAGCAGCUGAUGGAAUCCCAGCCAGGAGUAUGAACAAUUCUACUCCAUGGAAAAUGUUCCAGAACUUGGAAGGACUUGAUGGACUGAGGGGGGGAGAUGUGAUUUCUAAUCCUGAGGAGAGUGAUUUCUUGUCCCAAACUCCAGCCUUGAGCAGAUCCAAAAAUGAAGAUGAAGAGAAAAAGGCAGAGGAUAUAGAAGCAUCUGAUAAUCAAAAAGGAAAGAAAGUACGACACAAGCUUUCAGGAUAUCAACUACAGACUCUCCUUGAAUACUUUCAUAGAAAUGAAUAUAUAAGGCCUGAUGAAGUCCAGAUUCUUUCUAUGUCACUGGAUCUAACUCCUCAGCAGAUCAGAUUCUGGUUUGGUAACCAGAGAGCAAAGAAGAAGAAAUUUGAGGGCUCAUUCAACUGAACAUGAAAUAUGGAGAUUGCCAGAUAUUCAGGAGCUGUUUUCCCAAAUUCAAGUUCCCAGAAUCCCAUGGUUACUGCUGUUUCUUCAUUCCAUAACCAUCAUAAUGCAAGAUGAAUACUCAUUCUUCUAUGAACUUACCCUCCAAACAUUUAUCAGUCAGCACAAAGGGAGUGCUUCCUAUGCUUCAAAUGACCAAUUUCUUCAUUAAAGUCUGGGCUGAAAAUAUUUUGUCAAUAGUAUCAUCAACUUGCAAACAGUCGAUAUUCGAUCAAAAAGAUAUAAAUCAUUUAAUGGCUAUGCAAUAUUAAAUACUAUGACAAGUUAUAUAUUAAUGACUAAUUUAUUAUUUCAACCCUUUAACAUUUGAUUAUAAUUUCUUUAUUUGCUAGUACGUUAUCAUGUCCUAUAAAAAUGCGUUAGUAUGCUGAGAAAUGUGGGUAUUAUAAUACAGGUACUUCAGUAUUCUCAUUGAUGAAGGAAUUGGCUAAGCCAUUCCAGAAAGGACACAAAGAAGGACACAAAGGAAAAUUAAGUGAUGAAAAUAUAUAUUUCCCCCUCUUCCUCCAUAUACACAUACACACGCAUGAGCAUGGUAUGCUUGUGCUAAACAAACACCAAUGAGAUUCUAUUACUUUCUAAAUCAAAUACCAAACCAUCUUUUGGGCACUCCAAAUCCUCUAUGAUUUCACCUCUUUUUCAUCUUUCCAAUCUCCUUAAGAUUUACUGCUUUCCACAAAUGCUUCAAUACAUCUACACCGGUUGAUUUGCUCUUUUUGACACAGGGCAUUCUGUCUCCAGAAGCUAUACGUUUGAACUGGCUGUAGCUGAUACCUGGAAUGGUAUUUGUCUUCCCUUCACCUCACCCCAGUCGCUUUAUGCUGAGCUAUUGAUAGCUUACCUCUGCUUAGAUAUUAGAAAAGGGGACCAACCAUUUAACUGACUUUGCAUAGUUCCCUUACCUAUGAUGUCUGACUUAGGAAGAGAAUAACUUGUUUUCCAUCUCUCAUGAAAAUCUUAGCCAUUCUGAGGUUCUCUGGUAUAGAAACUAUGAAGAUCAAGUUAUCACUGCUUACUGUCGAACAGGAGAUCAAGAUGUAUGAAGUCCAAGGAUACUCUCUCAGAAGAUCAUCACUGAACCCCCUCUUCAUACUCCUAUGAUGACCAUGAGAUCGUUGAUCAAUAAAUCAGUAAACAUUUAUUAAGCA
rnacentral:lncRNA from 1 species